rnacentral:rRNA from 1 species
UACAGAGGGUGCAAGCGUUAAUCGGAUUUACUGGGCGUAAAGCGUGCGUAGGCGGUUCAUUAAGUCGGUUGUGAAAUCCCUGGGCUUAACCUGGGAACUGCAGUCGAUACUGGUGGACUAGAGUACGGUAGAGGGUGGCGGAACUCCGGGUGUAGCGGUGAAAUGCGUAGAUAUCCGGAAGAACACCGAUGGCGAAGGCAACCACCUGGGCCUGUACUGACGCUCAUGCACGAAAGCGUGGGGAGCAAACAGG